rnacentral:rRNA from 1 species
AUGAUUGUAACACCCGCUGAUGUACCUCAUAGUUGGGCUGUACCUUCCUCAGGUGUCAAAUGUGAUGUUGUACCUGGUCAUUCAAAUCUUACCUCCAUCUCGGUACAAUGAGAAGGAGUUUACUAUGGUCAGUGCAGUGAGAUUCGUGGAACUAAUCAUGCCUUUACGCCUAUCGUCGUAGAAGCAGUGACUUUGAAAGAUUAUGCGGAUUGGGUAUCCAAUCAAUUAAUCCUCCAAACCAACUAA